UUGAAUGAAAAAAAUAAAUUAAUAACUGGAGUUCACAUUUCAUUUUUGCUGUCAUGGACUUGUAUAAUAAGAUAUUACAAAUAAUUUGAAAAAAAUUUCGACAUCAGACGGAUUCACGUACUUGCCGUUCCACUACAAAGAUUUUUGUCUUACAUGGUUUGAAGUGCUCGUGAAAACUAGGAAUAUGUUGCUUCAUCCAACAGUGGAAAUUUAGAAAACUAAUAUAUUGUGGCAGUCGGAAAUGGUUUACAAUCAAUUUCACCAUAUAUUUUGUUCCUGGUGUUGGAUAGCUAUUAUCGACAUAUUUUACCUAAGUUCACAUAUUGGAUCUAGUCAACAGUCAUCGUUCAGUGCAAAUUUAUUGUAUCAUAUCAAAGAAUGAAAAUUCGAAUCAUGUAAUUAUGCCAUAAAUAUGUUAGGCGAUAAGACAAAAGUGUACAUUUAUUACAAACCCCGACCUGUUAAGUCAGCGGAACGCAUGACCUUUGAAUGGUUUCUUGUCAAGCGUGUUUGCCUUAUUCCAACAUCGAGAAAAAUUGUUCACUUACACGCUGAAUAUGUCCAUAAGAAGCUGAUAAGAUGUUCACAGAAACUCACACUAUGUUCCAGUCAAAUGUUGGCAGAAUAAAACAUUUUAUUUUUUCCUGUUCAAAAUCAAAUGUACUCUCUAUUUUUCAUCAAAUCUGAUUUAUCAAA